rnacentral:lncRNA from 1 species
GAGUCAAGCCCAGAGACUACUUUAAGGACUUGCCAAGAAGGUGUCGUGAUGCUUCUGAUUUGAGGACUCGCUUUGCACCUGCCUCCGACACCAUUUAAUUAUGAAUAUUCAUAUUAUUGCAUUUAUUUACUUAUUUGUAUAUACACUAAUUUAUUAGGGGUGGGUGGGUGUGUUUGUAUAUGGUAUGCACAAGUAUAUGUAUGUAAGUGGUAGCACCCAUGCCACAGCAUACCUCUGGAGAGCAGCAGACAAUCUCAUAUGCCAAUCCUCACCUUCCACCUCCUCUGAGACGAAGUCUCUCUUGCUGUUUGCUGCUGCAUAGGCUAAGGUAACUUGCCUAUUAUCUUCUGGAAAUUUUCUCUUCUCUUCUGCCUAACUCUUUUAAGAGCCGUGGGAUUUUACACACACACACACACACACACACACACACACACCUGCAUCCAGUUUUACAUGGCUUUCAGGGAUUCAAACUCAGGUCCUCUCACUUUUUUUUUUAAGAUUUAUUUAUUUAUUUA